rnacentral:rRNA from 1 species
AGUCGAGCGCGAAAGUCUUCGGACUGAGUAGAGCGGCGCACGGGUGAGUAACACGUGAGUAACCUACCCUUGGAUCUGGAAUAACACCUCGAAAGAGAUGCUAAUGCCGGAUAAGACCACAGAGCCUUUGGGUUCAGUGAGAAAAGCUGGGGACGAGAAAUCGCCUGGCAUCUGAGGAUGGGCUCGCGGCCUAUCAGCUAGUUGGCGGGGUAACGGCCCACCAAGGCUAAGACGGGUAGCUGGUCUGAGAGGAUGAUCAGUCACACUGGAACUGAGACACGGUCCAGACUCCUACGGGAGGCAGCAGUGGGGAAUUUUGCGCAAUGGGCGAAAGCCUGACGCAGCGACGCCGCGUGUGCGAUGAAGGCCCUUGGGUCGUAAAGCACUGUCAACAGGGACGAAAACCCGGCGGGUAAUAUCCGUCGGUCUUGACGGUACCUGUGAAGGAAGCACCGGCUAACUCUGUGCCAGCAGCCGCGGUAAUACAGAGGGUGCAAACGUUGUUCGGAAUUACUGGGCGUAAAGCGCGUGUAGGCGGCAUGUUAAGUCGACUGUGAAAGCCCAUAGCUCAACUAUGGAAGUGCAGUCGAUACUGGCAAGCUCGAGUCCCGGAGAGGAUG